rnacentral:tRNA from 1 species
CAUUAAAUGACUGAAAAAGUAUUGAUUUUUUAAAUCAAAUUAUAAUAGUAUAACAUCUAUUUUUAAUGA